GAUGAAGAACGCAGCGAAAUGCGAUAAGUAAUGUGAAUUGCAGAAUUCAGUGAAUCAUCGAGUCUUUGAACGCACAUUGCGCCCCCUGGUAUUCCGGGGGGCAUGCCUGUCCGAGCGUCAUUGCCGCCCUCAAGCACGGCUUGUGUGUUGGGCCCCCGCCCCCCGGCUUCGGGGGGCGGGCCCGAAAGGCAGCGGCGGCACCGCGUCCGGUCCUCGAGCGUAUGGGGCUUCGUCACCCGCUCUGUAGGCCCGGCCGGCGCCCGCCGGCGACCCCAAUCAAUCUUUCCAGGUUGACCUCGGAUCAGGUAGGGAUACCCGCUGAACUUAAGCAUAUCAUAAGCGGAGGA
rnacentral:misc_RNA from 1 species